CCAAUAGCGUAUAUUAAAGUUGUUGCAGUUAAAAAGCUCGUAGUUGAAUUUCGGGGUUCCACCGUUGGUCGGGCUAUUGUUUGUACUGGCGUGUGGAAUUUCUACCUUCUGGGGAACUAUCAUGUUAUUAAUUUAGCGUGGUAGGAAACCAGGACCUUUACCUUGAAAAAAUUAGAGUGUUCAAAGCAGGCUUAUGUCUGAAUACAUUAGCAUGGAAUAAUAAAAUAGGACGGUGGUCCUGUUUUGUUGGUUUCUGAAUCACCGUAAUGAUUAAUAGGGAUAGUUGGGGGCAUUAGUAUUCAAUUGUCAGAGGUGAAAUUCUUGGAUUUAUUGAAGACUAACUACUGCGAAAGCAUUUGCCAAGGAUGUUUUCAUUAAUCAAGAACGAAAGUUAGGGGAUCGAAGACGAUCAGAUACCGUCGUAGUCUUAACCAUAAACUAUGCCGACUAGGGAUCGGACGAUGUUAACUUUUCUUGACUCGUUCGGCGCCUUACG
rnacentral:rRNA from 1 species